GACGAACGCUGGCGGCGUGCUUAACACAUGCAAGUCGAACGGAAAGGCCCUGCUUUUGUGGGGUGCUCGAGUGGCGAACGGGUGAGUAACACGUGAGUAACCUGCCCUUGACUUUGGGAUAACUUCAGGAAACUGGGGUAAUACCGGAUAGGAGCUCCUGCUGCAUGGUGGGGGUUGGAAAGUUUCGGCGGUUGGGGAUGGACUCGCGGCUUAUCAGCUUGUUGGUGGGGUAGUGGCUUACCAAGGCUUUGACGGGUAGCCGGCCUGAGAGGGUGACCGGCCACAUUGGGACUGAGAUACGGCCCAGACUCCUACGGGAGGCAGCAGUGGGGAAUAUUGCACAAUGGGCGGAAGCCUGAUGCAGCAACGCCGCGUGCGGGAUGACGGCCUUCGGGUUGUAAACCGCUUUCGCCUGUGACGAAGCGUGAGUGACGGUAAUGGGUAAAGAAGCACCGGCUAACUACGUG
rnacentral:rRNA from 1 species